AGCCUCAAUUCUUGUCUCUUCACUCUACAGACCCUCCAAAACCCUUGUCAUCCACCGCCGUUUACGGCGGCGUACUCCUUAUUUCUCCGUCAUCCCCGGCGAACCAGCAAUGGCAUCUACACCGGUGUCAGAACUCUCCGACGGACCAGUCCUGAGUGUGAUCAACAAGCGUCUCCGUGCUCUUCGCAAGAAACACAGCCGCAUUCUCCAAAUGGAAGAAUCCCGCACGAAAGGAAAAACUCUUAACAAGGAGCAAGAAGAAACUCUCCGCUCCAAAUCCGCUGUUAUUGCUGCCAUUGAUGAGCUCGAGAAGCUUCGUCAGCCACUAGCUGCUGCUGUGGUUGAAGAAAUCAACCUCUCCACUGGACAACACCAAGUUUCUCCAGCAGAAUCCGCCGUUAAUAUCUCUAUUGAUUCUACUGACAAGGGAGAACCUGCACGCGAGGGUGUUUUGGUGGUUGAGGAUUUACUUAAUCUAUUGUACUUUGGUAGUAUGUUUGAUGUGAAGUCAUUGCAGAGUGAUUUUACACCUACGAUGUUGACGAGGACUAUGGAGAGAGCUUGUUGUUUGAGCUACGACUGUAUGCCGGAUGAUGAAUCAACGGACGUGAUGGAUCUGUUAGGGGAGAGAGAUUUGGAUUUGAUUUCUAUGCUUAGUGGGUUGCUUGUUUCACGGCCUGUUAACUCUCCCUUGUCACACAAGCACGCUCUUCAGAAAUGUAUUGAGCAUGCAAAGCUAUGGCUUUCGAAGUCCGAGCAGCCCAUUGAACCCAAUUCCGAUGCUACUUAUGCCGGGCUGAGAUCAAAGCUCGAUAAGAUCAUUGCUUCACUAUAUUUUACCACUGACCCUGUUAAAGUGGAGGCAGCUGCUGGUAAAUAUGGAUCUUAUUCGGUGCCAGUAGAAGAGCAUCAUGUGGAGGCUGUGCCUGUUGAUGUACCCUUGCAGGUGGACACUCCAAGUGUGCAGUAUGAGCAGAAGGAAGAAGCUGUAAGUUCUCAAGCAAUUGAAACUAAUGACAAUCACAUCAGCAAUAAUAUCGAACUGCAGCAGGGUGGACAGGAUAUCAAUCAACCUGCUGAACCAGAAGAAGUCGUGUUUGAGGUUGAAGGCGUUGACAAUAUGAAGGAUGCAGAUUUCAAUGAGCAACAAUCUGUUCCCCGGAGAUCUUACCAGAAUCAGAAUUACAGGGGUAACCGUGGUGGGAGUGUGGGUGACCGUCGUGGAUAUUCCAAUGGUCGUGGAGGACGUGGCAGAGGAGGGUCCUAUCAGAAUGGUCGCAACCAAUACUAUGACCAAUCUGGUAAUUAUCAACAGAGGAACUACAAUAACUAUAGGGGAAGAGGUGGCAGGGGUACAGGUGGUGGCGGAGGUUAUAAUCAUUACACUUCAGGCGAUCAAGCUGGCAGUUACUCUGCUGAUUUAAGGUGAUUAUAGAUCCUUUGCUAGUUUCAUCAAGGUGUUUUCCCUAUCACAUUGGAUGACGCACGCAAGUGUUUUCUACUUGCUCGUGCAUCAUCUCGGAGACUAAUUUUAAGUUGAAAGAAUUGGGGUUAUUGUCAAUUUGAGAUAGAAGAGAACCGUAGUAGCCUUUUUCAGAUAGCGUUUACCUGCAGAUCGUAUUCACUUUUUUUUUUCGUUUCGCUCUAAACGUUCUUAACACUUGCUAGUUUUAUAUUGCGUCUGCAGAUAUGAAAUGUGAAAGGUUCGAUUUGUAUCAAUGCCUACUUCAGACAGGAGGUGAUAAUUAUAUAACACUUGUUUUUGCCUUGCCAAUUCUUCAACUUUCAGCUUCAGUGACAAUAAUCAGUUUCUCAACGAUAUUAAUAAGGUUAAAGUUCGAUUACACCUCCAGAUGAAAGUAAAUGCAACGACUCAAAAGGUAAAAGCCUAAAUCAAAAUGCA
rnacentral:misc_RNA from 1 species